ensembl:lncRNA
CCGGGACCGAGCGCCUGACCAGAACUUCCUCGGGGGAGGCUGGAGCAGAGCACGAGCAUCCUGCUCAGAACUCUCCAGAGCGCGCAGGCCAGAGCAGUCGUCUGCGCCCAUGGCGCGCUGGGAGAGGGUCCCCUGCCCGGAUGCUUUAGUCUGGACCCUGCAGACAGCAGGAGGGGGGCUGAGGCCUCCCCAGGGAGAGGCUGACACCGUCAGGCUGGAACCUUCCAUUCCGGCCCAGCCUCUUCCCCCCUCGCUGCGCAAGGAGGGAAUCGAGAAGGGACUUUCCAGAGAGCGUUAGCGUGCAGGGUGUGGAAAUGGAAUAAAAGCAUAUGCAAAUAGGCCUUUGCGUGCCUUCCUCUACCCAAGUGAGCAAGAGCCUUUCUCCAGAAAGAUGCUCUUGCUCCAAGACACUUGACAGCUCUCUUCCUUCCCUGGAUGGCAGCGGCGGGGCCGAGUGGAGUGGUAAAACCCCGGGCGGGAAGCCAUGCCAAGCGGUGGGCUGGAUGGAUGGGGGGCAAGUAGGAAAAUGAGGAGGGGGAGAAGGGCCGCCGAAUUGGGAAAGAUAAAGUAAAAUGAAAUUUUAGGAGUUCGCUGUGAGUAUGAGCUGGGAAAAAUAAUCAUUGCAAGUUGAUCUAUAUGUACUUAUCUUCUGUCUGAGAGGCAGUGGGCUUUUGUACAUGGAUUAUUGCAGAGUAAAUGGCACAUUAAAGAAAUAAUCAAGAUGUUUAAGGCAUAUUGAAUGACAGAGUUAAAAUAGGUGAGGCUUUUGUAUGGUCUGUGAAUAUGAAAAUGUCAGUGGCUUGGAGAUGUUUCCAGUGCUUUGGUUAAGAUGUGGUUCCAUUUUUAAAAGGAAAAUAUUUGUAACCUUUUGUUUUUUUCAGGGUGGGGUAGGGUGGGGUUGGGAAGUGGUGUAGAACCUACAUGUAUGGUAAAAUAAUAUGCUUUAAAUCCUGGAGUUGUGGACCGUGAACUCUAUUUAGCAAGUCAUAAGCUUUCUUGCAGUGACAAUAGGGUGAAGAUACUGUGCAGUACCUGUGGUGUAAUUUGGGGGUUAGGAAGUCGGGGAUUGUAGCUGCUAUAUUUUAAUGAUUGUGUUCCUAUUCUUGAGCUCGUUCAAUCUUGUCUUUGGGUAAAGAGUUUUUUUUUUGAAUUUUUUUUUUUUUUUUUUACUGAAUUUGUAUAUUGGGCAAAUAGUGUAGCUUUUCUUUCCUGAAGGCUUAAUUAUUGUAUUUUCUUGUCAUUCGGGACCUCCACGUUCGUCAUUGCAUCUUCCUGCUCGGGGUUCCACUUGGUUUUGCCCCAAACCCUUCUGAUUGCAGCACUCUGCUGACAUUUGUCUCUUCCUUGUUAACUAUGUUUUGAACAGAACGAAUUUCUCUUCACUUGUUUGUUUUUAAUAAAAAUCACCUUGCUGACCUUAUGCAUAGCACUCCUCAGAACAGAUAAGCGGUAGUACGAGAAGCUCUUUGUGGUGGAGCUCACAGAGGAAGAAGAAGCUGGAAACCUCGACUUUGGGGUUUGCCCAGAUUGUUUGGAAUUCCCUGGAUUGUCAGCGUGUGGGGAAAUUGAGACUCAGAGAGGUCAAGCGACCUACCGAAGGCCUCACUGCCCAAGAUGGACUCAAACUUCUGACUUUUUCCACUGCAGGAAACAAUCACCAAGUUUGAAGUGGAUAGGCUGGAAGACCAGAGAGAAAAGUAUGGCCCACUUCUGUUGAGUGAAUCCAGCCUUCAGACGGUUUCUGCCGACAUUAAACAUAUUUUAUAUUAGGCUUUGUCUGCUUCCCAGCCAACCUGGCCCCCGAGCCUAGCAGUGCCAGCACCCGCUGCAUGGGCUGCAAUCACUUGUGAGUUGUGUUUCGUUAAAUCUCUUUUCUCGUACCAAGAACUCGCUUCAUGGUUAUAAGGGGAUUUUGUUUUACACAAAGGGCUGGCGAGGUUCAACACCAGGAUAACGCUGCAGUUUCUUGGUGCCAAGAUUUAUCAACCCUGUUUCUUUAAUAUUGCCAUCCCUGCUCCAGCUUUCCUCUUAAGGCUGUGUGCACAGAUCCAAAUGAGAUAGUUAUGCAGACGAUUUAGAAACUUUUUAAAAGUAAAGUGCUAUGUAAGGGACUAUUUUUUUUUAUAGUGAGAGCAUAAAGUAAUUUGAAUGCAUCUCCUCUACACCUUCUGGGAGUGAACUGGAAGACUAGGAAUUAUUUAGUUUGAAAGGAUUUUAGAUUUGCAGAAUUACACUGGAUUAGCAGCUCUCCUGAAAGCCUCACAUACUGGAAACUCAAUCCUUUGUUCUGACUCUAGAUAGCAAGAGCAAAGUGCCACAGUAAUUUUUUUUGGCAAAAUCGUAUUUAUAACAACUUUUGGGUUAGUUUUUGUUUUUUUCCCUCAAAUGGUGGGAAAAAUACAUAAAACAGAGGGGGAUGAAUUCUUGAAAAUAGAAACAAAUAGCUUCUCUAACGUAAACCACCAAGACCAAAUCUGGUGUGGGAUUUCUUUUCAUAGGACAAAUUAUACUUUUACCCAACAGAGUUACACAAUAGAAUUCUGCCUUAAAAAAGAAUUCAGCUUUUUAUUGAUUUAAUACAACUUCCAUUUUCCUGGGCUCUGCACUGAGGAAAUGCUAAUAAUGGAUAGAACAGCCCUGUUGAUAAAUGUGAAUGCUCAGUGGUUAAAAGGCUUUCGUAUUGUUCUUUUGUUUCCAUGUUUUCUGACUGCAAAUCUCAUGAAGUUGACAAAAUGGCUCAUAGUGCACAGUUCGUCUUGGUAAAUAGGAGGCAGUGACUUUUCUGAGUUGUUCUGUCUGGCUCUCCGUUUUGGCUGAGAAAUGGUUCUGGCUGUGCAGUUUAGGUCCAUUUUGACCUGGCUCCUUCAGAAGCACGGGAAGAAAUUAUUGCCUCACUGGAGAUGCAGACUCUGAGGAACUGGAGGUUGGAGGGUCUGGGUGACCUGGUACAGGUGGGGUUUGGGGGCAAGGAGUGGACCACGAUGGCUGCUGAAAUGACCCACCGUUCAGAUCCUCGUGGCCUCUGAUGUCCCCUGUCCAGGCAAUGCAGCGACUCUUCAGAGAGCUUGUGAGGAGGUUGUCUGAAAGUUAUGCUGGUCUUCAGAACCAGAACACAUCAGUCGAGCGGAGGGUGGGAGAGUGAUUAGAGACAAGAGAGGAUCUUUCGGAGGGCAGAGGGAAGAAGUUUUUAAUUAUAAGAAAAGCUUAGAAUUUAUCACAAAAUAAUUACUCAAGAAAUAUUUUCUAAUCGUCUAGCACGUACAGUGCACUCCUGCUACAGGGAAUGAGGUUGAGAAUGUCCGUCUUGUCAGACUUGCACUGAUGGAUUCAAGACCCCGCAGGAUCAAGUGUUAAAUUGCGUGAUCAGAUGAUGGGUACUUGGGACAUUUCUUGCCCUCCUCCCAACUGUUCACCACACCCAGCCAGAAUAUUUAAAAAUGCAAUCGGAAUCACAUGGCUUUCCUGCUUCCUCUGAUUUCUGUUAGGGUCAACUCCAGAUUCCUAAGUAAGGCUGAUGGAAGCUGGCCCUGGGCUGCCUGGGCCUCCCUUACUUCUGUGCCAUCCCUGGUCUCAUUAUUGGCCCCAGCAGAGGGGUCUGUCAGUCUGCCCUUGUGUGCCCAGUCGCAUCCCAUCUCGGAGUGUUUGCACAUUCUGUUCCCUCUGCCUGUAUUGGCUUUUACCUGCCCCUCACCAACCGCAGCCUAUUUCUCCUUCAGGAUUUCUCCUUCACUGUCACUUCUUCCUCACCAUCAGGUGCUUCAUAGGAUCAUGUGCUUUUCCACUGAUAGCACUUCUCACAGUUGAGCUCAUUUGUUUUGUGUGACUGUCGAUGAGAUCUCUGUCUCUCCUGUUAUCUCCAUGAGGAUGAGGGCAAGGGUCAUGUUGGCCUUGUUCCCUGCUGUAUCUGUCCCAGGGCCUGACACAUAGCAGGUGCCCUGUAAAUGAAUGAUGAAUGAAUGAAUGAAUGAAUAAAUGGAUGCAUGUCGAAGGAGAGAUUCCACUGGGCCCAUGCAGUUGUCCUUUCAAAGCACUUUUAUCUCCGCCUCCUGGGGCACUUGGUAUGUUGUUCUAAAUGUGCUGUUUGUCCAUCCUCACAUGCCCAUAAGCUUGAGAGGGCAGGGAUUGGACCAUAGUCCUCUUUUCAUCUCUAGUCUGGCUCACGUAGAAACUCAGUGAAGCUUUUGCGGAUGAACAAGGAGUUGUGCAUGAAUGGGGUGGGAGUGGGGGGGGGGGGGGCUUAUCUGAGUUUUAAAGGGUGACUGGGGAUGAGGGUGAAAGAAACGUGGAUUUAAACAUCCAAAAUGGCAGUAAGAGUUGGGAUGCAAAAGAAGAUUACGGUUAAAAAAAAAAGCUGAAAACCUGAAUUAGAAAAAUACCGGAUAGUCAUCAGACACAGCUUGACAGGAUGUGCUCAUGCUACAGAUGGGAGGGUUAGGGUGGGGAGGGUUCUUGGAAUUUCCCCAGCUGAACUUAAUACCUUGAGUGAUGUCUGUCUCUCUGCUUGCUGCUCACCUCAGGAGAUCUAGUCGGUCAACAGAUAUUUAUCGAGCUCCUAAUUCAUGCAUUCCCAAUGGGGGAAAUAUCACCCCAAGGGCACAAAAAUUGGCUCUUGUGGGGUAAAAAACAUCUUACUUAUUUUAUGUCUAAAGCACAGAUAUACAUAUAUUACAUAAACAGAUAUACAGUACAUCUAAGGUAUUAAAUUUCAUAGUGGGUGCGAUUAGGAAAAUAUGCCUAAAAAGGCUCUUUCAGGUGAUGAUAAUGAAAAAACGUUGAGAACUGACCUGCUCUGUGCCACACAUUAUUGGGGUCAAACUGCCCUCCCCCGUGGGGCUUUCAUUCUCGUGAGGCAGAGAGGCAAUAAACAAAUAAGUAACCAUCAUUCUCAGAGAAGGAGAAAUUCUGUCAAGAAGAAAAGCGAGGCAAGGGGAGAGAGUGCCUGGGGGUGAGCAUGGGCGACCGCGUUAUUUUAGGUGGAGGUCAGGUGACUCUGAGGAGUGACUCUUGAGAAGGGUCUGGAAGAACUGAGGGGCAAACAGUGCCAAUAUUUGGAGGAAGAGCAUUCCAGGAAGAUGCAAUGGCGUGGUGGAAUUGGAACAGCAAGGAGGCCACUUGGGCAGGAGUGGAUGAGUGAGGGAAGGAUGGGAGGAAAUCAGCCUGGAGACGGGACCUGGGCCAGAUCACGCGGGCCUGGUAGGCCAUGCUAAGGGGUUUGGAGGUUGCUCUGAGUGUGGUGGAAGCUUUUGGAGAGCUUGUUGAGGGAAGUGACGGGAUCUGAUUAACCUUUUGGUCAGAGCGCUCUGGCUGCUGUUUGGAGGGGGGACUGUAGAGGCAGGAGUGGAAUCAAGGCACCAGCGAGGCGGAGGCCUCUGCCGGGGUCUAGGUGGGAAGUGAUGGUGUCUUGGGGGAAGGUGAGAGCUUAGGUUCCCAUGGACUGUCAAGGUAGAGCUUGUGGGACUUGCAGGAGGAUUGAAUGGAGGGUGUGAAAGAACGAGGAGUCAGAUCUACCAAGGUUUCAGUUAGCCUGGGCCACUGGGUUCCAUUUAUGGAGACGAGGUUCAGCAUGGGAGGAGCAUGUCUUCCCGGGAACCAGUGCUAGAGUGAGGUCUUCCUUCCACCAGCUGCUGGCCCCUUGUUGACGCCAGGCUUGGUAUGUAUUAUAUGUGCCUUCUACGCUUACUGAUUUUUCAUCUGUUUACCUUGCUACCUUACCUAGUCUUUAAACUCCUUUAGGGAAGAUUUUUUCCUUUUACUUCUCCAAGAGGAGGGCAGAGGGUCAGAAUGGUUGAAAGUAUGAGUAUAACUGCUUAGCUUCUGCUCCUCCUCCUUCCCUUCCUUUCUCUUCUCCCUCUCCUCCUCUCCAUCCUCCUCCUUCUUAAUUUUUUUUUUUUUUUUUUGGCAAGCGAAGAUGGCAACAGUAUCUGCUUCCUAUGGCUUUGUGAGAGUGAAGUGAAAUUUGCAUGUGAAGUGCCUUGUUUGGGUCUGGCAAGCAGUUGGCACUUGGUGGUUAUUCAGUGGUGUGGCUCCACCCUUCCCGUUAGAUUUCUGUGUUGCUGGCUCUCUUUUCUCAGGGUCGUCUCAGUUAGAGCACUUCAGGGUGAGGGUAUCACUUUUUCCCCUUUGUGUCUUGGCUUUACUUGCUGUAAAAGCGGGAAACGAGACUCACUGGAGAGAUGAAACUGUGGAGACCUUCAAAUGUGGAUAUUUACAUUGUCCAUUACCUUGUGUUCUAAGUAUAAAAAGCCAUGUUGAGUUGAGGGUGAUGGAGAAGCCAUUCCGAGCCAGCCGAGGGAAGCGAGUGCCUAGUGGAUCAUUUUGAGUAAGUGGAAUUGAUGCUGCUGCAUGAGAAAUACGAAACGUUUGUGUAGUAAUCACCAAAUUGUGUGGAUCCAACCAGAAUAAAAAUGCCUGGAGCUUUGGCUUAGGGCCAUGGAUGAACGGAGCAUGAAGCCUGGCAUGGAACAGGAGUGAAAGGCAUGGGUGUAGCAGAGUGAAAGAUAUAAACAGAUGUAAGUUUAAGCAGAGAUGAAAAUAUGUGACUGCCUCUUUCCCUCUCUGCACUUGUGGCAGACUUUGUUAAUCUGUCACAUCAUUUAUUCCUGAUUCUUAUAUAAAACUAACAUUUCUUGAGUGUUUACUGCAUGCCAGGCACUGUGUUCUGCAAAUAUCAUCUUGCUUAUUCCCCAUAACAACUCAGUGAGAUAGAUCUAUUAUUAUCUUUAUAGUACAGCUGAGAAAACUGAGUCUCAGAGAGGGCAGUAACUUGCCCAGGACUACUCAGCUGGCCUGUGGCAGAGCGUGUUCUCUAUUCGUUGUGUUUUGCUGCCUCUAGAUAGGCCUGGGUGCGACCUCAGAAUCCUUCUACCUGGUAAAUUCAUUCCCAUCUGCUUCUUUAAGAUUGUGGGAUUCAGGUUCAUAUUAUGGUUGGUGUUCAUUUGUUUGUUCAUUCAUUCAUUUAUUCGUUCACUAAUUAAACAAUACUUUAGUGCAUCCACCAUGUGCCAGGCACAGUGUUAGGUGCUAAGGAUUCAGUAGAGAAUAAGACACAAUCACUGCUCAGGGCUACGCUCAGUGGAAGCAUCGCUUCUUGUUUAGGACUCUCAGUGGGUAGAAAGACUGAGAUUCUUGAGAUUUGGGACUAAUUUAGUGCUGCCUUCCUUGCAUUGAACCAGAAAGUAUCUCAAUUGAUGGAAAUCAGCAACAAUCUGAAAAAUGAAUUAUGAUGCUCCAGCAUGCACCCUGGACCAGAAAUUGGGCCACUUGCCACCUUUUUCUGACUUGGCUGAUUUAGCCAUUUGACCGUGGGCCUCAGUUAUAACUCACGGUCAAACAAUGUUUUCUCAUGCAUUAGUUUACUUUGCUCCUUCCAGUACCUGAUUGGAAGGAGGAGGUCUCUUAUGUGCAGAGAGGUUAUGUGACCUGCCUAGUUCUCGUACCUGAUAGGAGACAAGCUGGAGCUAGAACCCAGUUCUAACUUCUAGCUCCUUGUUUUUAUUAUCUCAUCAUGCCAGCAUCUUAAUGUCUUUAGGCCUUCAGUUUCCCCAUCGAUAAAAUAAGGAAAUUAAACCAUAUGGUCUCUCAAAGUUCUUUCCUUCCUUCCUUCCUCCCAUCCAUCACUGGAGUACCUACCAUGAACCGGGCGUUAGGCUGGAAGCUGUAAAUAAUGUUAUGGAAAACACACACACACACACACACACACACACACACACCCAUCAAGAAAGUUAAAAGACAAUCCACAGAAUGGGAGAAAAUAUUUGUAAAUCAUGUGUAUGGGCCUUGUAUCUGGAACAUAUAAAGAACUUUUACAAGUGAAUAAAUAAAAAAGACAAACAACCCAAUUACAAAAUUGGCAAAGGAGCUGAACAGACCUCUCUCCAAAGAAGACAUACACAUGGCCCAUAAGUACAUGAAAAGAUGCUCCACAUCAUUGACCAUCAGAGAGAUGCAAAUCAAAACCACAACGAGAUGCCACUUCACACCCGGUAGGAUGGCUAUAAUCAAAAGAAAGAUAACAAAUGUUGGUGAGAAUGUGGAGACCUCAAAAGGUCAAGCACAGAGUCAUCAUAUGACCCAAGCAUUCUACUCCUAGGUAUAUACCUAAGGGAAAUGAAAACGUGUCUACACGAAAGCUUGUACAUGAGCGCUCACAGAAGCAUUAUGUAUUUAUAAUAGGCAAAACCGUCCAACUGCCCAUCAACUACUGAGUGGAUAAACAAAAUGUGGUAUAUCCAUACAGUGGAAUAUUCUUCUUCCAUAAAAGGGAAUGAAGUACUGAUAUAUGCUAAAACAUGGGUAAACUUUAAGAACAUUCUGCUAAGUGAAAGAAGCCAGUCACAAAAGGCCACAUAUUGUAUGAUUUUGUUCAUAUAAAAUGUCCAGAAUAAGCAAAUAUAUAGAGACAGAAAGUAGAUGAGUGAUUGCCUAGGGCUGGGGGCACAUGAGGAGUGACUGCUAAUAGGUAUUGGGUUUAUUUUGGGGAUGAUGAAAAUGUUCUAAAAUUGAUUAUGUUGAUGGUUGUCCAACUCUGUGAAAAUACUAAAAACCAAUGAGUUGUACACUUUAAAUAGGUGAGUAGUAUAAUAUGUGAAUUAUAUCUCAAUAAAGCUAUUAUAUAUAUUAAAAAAGAAAAUCCUAGCUUGGUCUCUGCCCUUGUGGAAAACAUGAUCUCGUUGGGGAGAUAAAUACUAAUCAAAUGAUUAUAUGAUCAGAUUUAUAGUUACCAAUUAUGGUAAGUGCUAUGAAGGGAAAGAGCCGGAUGUUAAGAAAGAGAAUAGAGGAGGCUAGUGGGCAAUCGGGAAGAGGGAUUAGUAAAGCUAAAACUUCAGGUGCUCUAACAGAGAUCCCCACAGAACAGCGGCUCACACGAGGUGGAUGUUCACUUCUCGCUGACACACUAGUGCAGGCUUAAGCAGUCUGGGGCUCAUAUGGAAGCCCACGGUUUGAGGGAUCUUCUAGCCUAUUGCUCUGUUUUUCCCUGGGGGGGGCUUCCCUUGUCUGCAUGGUCCACAGUGGCUCUCCACCAUGUGUCCAGUCCAAGCAGGGAGAAGAGGGGAAGAGGGCAGUGGAAGGCUCAUUGCUUCUGCUCACAUUCAGAACUUAGUUACGUGAGGCUCGGAAGUGAAGUCAGGUACCAGGUGUCCCUGUGCCCAGAUUAAAUUUGGGGGUUCUAGUACUAUAGAAGGAGGGAAGAUGGGAUGUUGGGUGAACAAUUAGCCGUCUGUGCCGUAGAUGGCCUCUCGAGGAAGUGAUGCUGAAGGUUAGAACCUAAGAAUGAGUUGGUGUUAAGGAGAGAAGAGUUUUCCAGGAUAGCGUGUGUAAGGGCCAUGAGGUGGGAAAGACCAACUAUAACGUUUAAUGCUGUUUAGUGACACACACGUCUACGAAGCACGUGCCUCCUGAUGCAUAGGACUGACGAGCACCAGGACCAGAUGUGGUACUGGGAAGCAUUCUGUGGGUUCACCUGGCUUUUCUCUCUCGUAUCUUACAGGGCUGGGAUGGGGCCUGGACUGCGAGGAGCGGGGCUUUGCGCCAGCGCUGGAAAGCCUGUGUGUAUCCUCAGCUUUGAGAACUGAAUUCCAUGGGUUGUGUCAGCGUCAGACCUGUGAAGUUCAGUUCUUCAGCUGGGAUAUCUCUGUCAUCGUGGACUCAGGGACAUUGGAGAGAGCGGACCCAAGGUCGCCUGAAGAACUUGGAACACUGGAGACAGAAGGGCCGAGUCUCAGAAGGAAUAGGGCGGGUGGGUUCAUGGGAAGUUAAACACUCGUUUAAUUGCCAGAAGACUUGAAUUCUAUGCUGAGCAGGGUUCCAACCAGCUAAAUGAGUGCUCUCAGCAUGUCAUUCUUGCUAUCGCUGCUGCCACUGCUAGUUUACGUUUAUUGAUUACUUCCAGCGAUCCAGGUACUGUACCAAAGUGCUUUACAUGCUGUUAUAGGACACUCUUGGGAAAAAUCAUUUUAAUGAAGCUUGAGACACCCGGCACUGCCAUGCUGUGAUUUUUAUUCCCUCUUCAUGUGAUCAGAUGGAACUAAUAGAAUGUGACAAGUGUUCUUUAGCAUGGACUGUCGAGGUUACUGGUCCCUUUUUAAGAUGAGAAGCAUUGAGUACAUCCCUCUUAUGGUCCCCCUGCGUUUAUUUGAAUCUCUACUUCCUUGCCAUCUAUAAACACAUUAGGGCUACACUGUGUCUUUGUAUUCCCCACAAGGCAAAAAGAAGUUGUAAUUAAACUUUACGAGGAUCCCCAGUUUCUCCUAGGGAAAAGGGAUACAGAGGAUCUGAAGGCCCCUCCAUUUGCUGGUAUGGUCAGCUGGGUGCUGUGGUCAAGUCUUUCUGUUGUCCUCCUCAUCGUUAAGUCAGCUUGGUCUGCCCUGAGGCCCAGGCUCACUGUGAUGGUGACGAUUUCCACCUUUAGGCAGAGGGCUGGGGACCUUGUAAGUACUAUGUGGGCUUUAUUAGGCUUUAGAUUUGAUGGGCAAUAAGGAGUGUGCUUUGUCUCUAGGGAACUCAUCUUUGAUCCAUCACUGUCUCUUGAAAUGUCUAUCUCACUAUAGUCUACAGAAUGAGAGUGUGGUCUGACUCGGAAAGGAGAGGCGGGCACAGGUGGGAAACCCUACAGCAGCCACAUUCUCACUCUGUCUUUGCAGUGACACUUGCGUUUAUCGAGCGCCUACUAUGUGCCAGGCACUGUGCUCAGGGCAUUCUGUGCAUGAUCGUGGUGAAUCUCACACCCAGCCUCAUCCGGAAAAUGGGGAUGAAUUAACCAAAGGAUGUCAUAUAAAAAAGUAUAACUACAUUCUGCAGAAGCAGAGGGGUGCUUGGUUCUCAUGAAAGCCAGUGGCAUGGAUGUGCUGUCUGGGCUGCCCUGAUCAGAUCAAGGACCCCCGCCGCCACAUCCACCCCCUACUUCCACCCUUUGCUUACUAGACCCUUAGUCAGUGCUCAUUCUAGAGCCAGAGUGUUGGUGAAACUCAACUGGGACCAGAGAUCAGUGUCUUCAGUCCUAGACGACUGGAGAAAAUCCAGAAUUUACACUGGAAUCUCCAAAUACUCUGGGUUUUAGACCAUCUGUGCUGUGAACACUGAGACCCAGAACUCUGAUUUACGGCAAAAGGCUCAUCCUUCUUACAGGUGAACUCUUCCUGAAGCAAACCUGAUAAAUGAAUGUGGAAUUCACACACACACACAAGCACACACACCCUUAAGAAGGUAACCUGUGGAUCUGUGAGGAGGAGGCAGAAAUUCACUAUAUAGAAGAAUGCUUCAUUUCCUAAGAGGAUUUAGGUUAAGAUUCAACUAGGUAAUACAUUUCCCGAAGAUUUUUGAGGUUGUAUUUGCUUUACAAAAUGUAUAUAAGUGGCAGAAGCAGAUUAAAAAUAGCUUAGAUUAUAUGAUUCCAUUUGUGUAAAAUUAUAAAUGUGUAUAGGAAUAUGUGCAUUGCAAGAUGUACAUCAAUUUAUUAACAAGGAUUAUCUCUUGGGGGGGUGGGAAUUGAGAUGCAUUUUCUUUUCUUUGUAUUUUUCUCUAUUGUUUGAUUCUUACACUGAGCAUGUUUAAUUAAAACAAUAAAAUUAUUGAAGGAAAUUGCACAGACAAUUGUGAUGAAUGUAGACAGUGCUAGUGUUGUGCGUUUGUUAGAGGUUGUGUUGUAGAGGUGUGUCGUGGAAGACUGGAGUUCCUGAUGUGUUCAGGGAAGGGGUAGGGCAGAGGGCAAUAUACAGUGUGAUGUUUUUUCAAGAAGAGAAAUGUGUGUGUGUGUGUGUGUGUGUGUGUCUGUUGAAGCCCAGUGGCUAGUGGGUGGUAAGGGAGCAGGUGAUUUUUUUCUCUCCCUUAUUUAUGCUUUUCUGCCCAAACAAGAAGAAAAAGAACUGUCAGUGUACAUGCUACUUUUCAAGAAUCCAUCCAAUGUGUAACCCAGUAAUUCUCAAAGUGUGUUUCCAGGAUGAGCAACAUCAGUCACCUGGGAACUUGUUAGAUAUGUAAAUUAUCAAGCUCCACCCAAGACCUACUGAAUAAGAAACGCUGGCAGUGGGGCCCAGCAAUUUCUGUUUUAACAAUUCCUUCGGCUUGACUAAUGCACACUGAGGUUUUAGAACUGCUGGUGUCAAUCAAGGGACAUCCCCACUCCACCAAACUGGAAUGCGGCUGAUAUUGACAUGCAAGAUGCUGGCCCACUCCUACAGGUGCGUGUGCAGGUGUUCGGCAAAACUCAUCUCUGAGAGAUGAACGGCAGGACCACAAACAUCAAGAUCCUUACCAGUGACUAUUUCGACCAGUGACUAGUAGAUCUCUAAGUUUUUAAGGUACAAACUUUAGGUGCAUAAAAUCACCUGAAGAGGAAAAACGUCACUUGAAGAGGUUGUUAAUUAAGGUAGAUUCCUAGGUUAUGCCCCUGACCUACAGACUUAGCAUCUCCAGGGGCCUGCCAUUUUAACCAUCACCCCUAAGGAAUCCCAUUAAGGAAGUUCAGGGACAACACUGAGCAGCAGCUUUAGGCUUUUUCACACUUUCUUUUUAUUUUUUUUCUGGUACUCCCCUUAUAUUUCUUCUUUCCGUCUCAUCCUUUCCCUUUCUGCUAUGAUCAAUGGGGUCUCAAAAGCAGAUUCAUCAUCUUUCCGGCUCUGUGCUUGGGAGAGAACAGGUGAGAUGCUCCUGGAGAGGUGCCUUGGGAGUAAUAAUAAUAAUGAUGGAAGUAUUGAUUUCCCAUCCUCAGAUAACGGGGAAGGACAUGAUUUAGCAGCUCACAUUGACGGGACAUGGUGGGAAGCUGGACACAGCACUCAAUAGUCGCUGCUGAUUCGUGUCACGAGGCUGCUGGGAUUCAGUGAUUUAGGGACAUGGUGGUUUCCUAAGUCCUCCCCCCAGUCAAACCUUUGUUCGUUAAGGUGAAGAUUCCUGUGUUAGGGUUCUCCAGAGAAAUGGAACCCAUAGAAUUACAUAUAUAGAGAGAUUUAUUAUAGGGAAUUGGCUCAUGUGGCUAUGGAGUCCCACCCGGCAAGUCCCAAGAUCUGCAGGGUGAGUCGUCUAGCUGGAGACCCAGGAGAGCUGGUGGUGUAGUUCUAGUCUGUGUCUGAAGGCCUGAGGACCAGCAGAACUGAAUGUAGUUCCAGUCCGAAGGCCGGCAGGCUCAAGACCCAGAAAGAGCUCACGUUUCAGUUUGAGUCUGAAAACAGGGAAAAAGUGAUGUCCCUGCUCAAUGGUCAGGCUGGAGGAGUUCCCUCUUCCCCUCAGCAGUCAGCCUUUUUGCUCUGUUCAGGCCUUCAACUGAUUGGAUGGGGCCCGCCCACAUUAGGGAGGGCAAUCUGCUUUAUUCCAUCUAUCGAUUUAAAUGUUAAAGUCAUCUAAAAACAUCCUCAUAGACACACCCAGAAAUAUGUUUGGCCAAAUAUCUGGGCACUUUGUGACCCAGUCAACACAUGAAAUUAACCUUCAAAUUCCUUUUUCAUAUUUUUUCACAUCUAGACUCUCUUUCUGUCUUUUUGAUAAUAUUUCAGAGAGGCAGUCCAGAGCUUGGGUGUUGGGUGGCAGACAGUCUGGAAAAAUGCUUUAUGGGGAGGGAUGCAGUUUUCUUGCCCAGUUCCUCUUUGCUCUUUGUAGCAUUCAGGCGCUUUGGGGAAAUGUUUGUGAAGGAAGCCCUGUUCCUGUCUCCUGGGGUGCCUCUUCCAAGUGAAGAACUCACUGCGAUUAUUCCUGGGAAAGUGCAGACAGUAUAAUUACAACUUUCCUAUAUUAGGUGUUCACAAUGCUCCAGCUGUCUUAUAUAUAAAGAAAGAUCUCCAUCUUCUAGGUGAGAAAACUGAAGCUGGGGAGGUCGUAUAUUUUGCUUAAAUUUCACAUACAAUUAAGUGUCACAGCCAGGAUGUUAAUCAAUGCUGACAAUUCAGAGCCUACGUUCUUUUCACUAAAGUUUGUACUGGGCUUUACAGUUUAUAAAGCACUUUAACACACGUUAUUAUAUUUGCUGAAUAUAGCAUUCCCCAGAAGUAGACAUUAUAACCAUAAUUUUAGGGAUGGGAAAACGGAGUUUUAAAAGCUUAUACAACUUGUCUGUACCCCGUGUCCUAUGACUAGUAACUGGUGAAGUUGAGCCUAAAAUCCACAAUCUGUGUGAUAAAAAGAUAACUUUUAUCUUAAAAAUUCAUAGGAAUAUACAAAACUUGGAAUGAAAGAAAAAAAAAUCUCCUGCCUCAGUUUCUCCAAUGUAACUGAAAACAGAAAUGUGUACAUUGAGGCCCACUCUGACUUAUUGCUCCGUCUUUGGUAAGCAGGAGUGAGCCCUUAUACAUGAGCAGUUCCACCCUCUGGGGCACCGUCAUACUUUAAAAUAUACUAAAAUUACGUUGUUGGUAGCUUUUAAGAAACCAGAAUGUAUUUUUGCUGUGUGUCCUGCAAUACUAGUAAGACUGGUCAGAUUCCAUUUGCCUCCGGGCAACAAAUGUGUUUUCUUGUCUUAAAAACAAACUCAUCUUUCUUAUUAUAUAAGUAAUCAGUUUACUGCAAAGAAUUUUGAAAAUGCAGCAAAGCAUAAAAGAGAAAAAAAUUAAAAUUAUCAAAAAUUUUAUCGUAUACAACAAUUAUGUAUUUUUUUUACAGGGAAUUUGGAAAAUUCAGAAAAUCAUAAGGGAAAAAAAUGUUAUCCAUAAGCUCAUAGAUUACCAUUUUGGGUUAUUUCUUUUCAUUUUCACUUCUUUUUAAUAUAGUUGGGAUCGUCUUUUAAAUGUAAUUUGUGUGUGUGUUCUGUUUUUUAUUUAACAUUUUAUCAUAAGCAUUUCCUUAUGCCCUUAGACAGUCUUUUGCAUGCAUUUUUAAAUGUCCGCAUAUGUGGUUCAUGGAGUGGAUGUGCCUUUGUUUACAUGAUCAUUCCGCUAUUUCUGGCCAUUUAUAACCUGGGUGUCCUGACUCCAAAUCUGCUGCCUCAGCCUGCCCCUCCCAACCCCCCGCUGCCACUCCUGGUUCAGUCUCUAUUUCCUUUUAGCCUUUUGCUUACACUCAUUCGUGCAUUAUUAGUGAUGGCUUUAGCAGUGUUUUAAAAAAAAAGCCUAGCAGCUUCUUAUUCAUUAAUACAUAAUGAUGCUAGUGUUAAGGAUUAACUAUGUGUCAAGCUCUAUUUCAAGACUUUGAACAGAUUUUCAUUAAGGCCACCACCUCUACAACAAUAGUAAAUACCGUUAUUAUUCCUGUUAUACAGAUGAGACCACAGAGGCACAGGGAGGUUAAGAUAAAUAUCAGAAUGCACUCAUUUGUAUUGAGGGAAACAUCCAGCUUACAGAACCAUACAUGAAUAGGCAUUUUUUUUUUCUCAUCCAGGCCGAAUAUGGGCAGCUAUUAGCUUCUUCUUGGACAUCAAGACUGCUGUCACUGAGGUCUUCUUCUUCCAUGCCUCUUAGUUUUAAAAUGGCUGCGAUGGGUCUAGACAUCACAUCCCAAUUCAGGGCAGAAAAAGAGUGAGACAGAUGGUGUUGAUCAACCACUUCUGUCCCUUUUAUCAGGAAAGCACAGUUGCUUCCCAGAACUUCCUCCCCCAGCAGAAUUCCACUCAUGAACGAUUGUGUUUUACAUGACCACUCCCAACUGCAGAAGAGGCUGGGAAAACACUUUCCAAGCUCUGGAGUGGAAGUUGACUAGAAGAGAGGGAUUUGGUAAUGACUGUCGGGUCAGCCAACCAGCAGUGGCCAUCACAUACUUGCCAAGGUCAAGUGUUAGUCUUAUUUGACCCAACCAGCCUAUUUCACACAGGGGCUAACGCCCGUCAGCUGGGAGUUGCUGUUUCUCACAUCUUUGGCCUGGACUAGAGGUGGCCCCAGCCUGCUAAACCUCAUCUCUCACUGAACAUAACACCAUCUCAUACACGCUAACAUUUUUCAUCAGUAUUAGUGUCACCGCAAAGUGCCAUUAAAAUAGAAGUGGUUUCAUACAUUAUUUUAUCUGCAACGUGGCCACUGAGUCAUUCUUUGCUGGAGAGCUGUCUCCUCGGCAUUUAUAAGCCGGGUAACGAAUCUGCAGUAACGAAUCUGCAGCUCGCUGGGUUCGCGUCCUCUGGUGUGCGGCAGAGGGAGUGGAGGAUCCGCGAGCUGUUGGGGCUAAAACAAGUUGCAUCUCUUCUCUCGGGCCUGAGAACAUUAAUUAAGUGCCUGGUUGCAGGUACUCUUCCAUUCUCCCAACAAAAUGUAAUUGCUGGAUCCUGGGGCUAUGGAGCUGAAUAAGGAAGACACAGUUCUGAAUCCCAUGGAUGCCCAGUUGUGAGACUGUGAUUUAUAACAAAUGUAUAUUUCGUCUUCACCCUCAUUUCUGACACUGAGCUCCUAAACCCUUGGAAUUUCCUGUGAUGAGAGUGAUAAAGGCCCCAGCGCAGGCUGCUUGGAGCUGCGUGUCUGCUUGGAGCUGCGUGUCUGCUUGGAGCUGCGUGUCUGCUUGGAGCUGCGUGUCUGCGUGGAGCUGUGUGUCUGCCUGGAGCUGCGUGUCUGCGUGCUGGCCUGCUUUCCUUGGCACAAUGUUGCAAGUAAUUUAGAAACUAUGAUGUGACUCAGAGCCUCCCUGAUGUUGGAGCCACCAGGCGUUAAAGUCAUGGCCAUUUGUAUUCCUUGGUGUUUCUAGACAAGCUUUGUUACUCACAUUAGAGUCGACUGUCUUCUUGUUCUGAUGCCCACUUGCUGCCCUUUCACACUCUUUGUGGCCAUGGGAGAGGCCAUGUGUAGAGGGACAUUUGGAUUAGGAUGAGAAAAUGAGAGACUUCCCUGGUGCAGCAGUCAAAGCCAUAACGAUUGUAAUGAGAGCUUAUAUAUACACGUAUACACACACAUGUAGAGGCUAAUUGACUUUGAACAACCUUAGGUGGUAGGAAUAUCUAAAUUUUGUAGAGACUGAGAGAAAUGAAAUAAUUUACAUAAGGUUACACAACUAGUAAGUGGCAAAGCUGACAUUUGAACCCACAUCUCUCGGCUAAAAUUCUUAACCCUUGUGCUGCAGCGUGCCUCCUAAAUGAGAGUCAGGAGGUCUGGGUUCUAUCACAACUGGUUGUGAAACCGGCUCAACACAACGUUGACAUAAGGGAAGCCAUAUUGUAGAAAAGAGACUAAGUUGUAACUUUGAAUGACCUCUGACUAACUAACCCAGCUGGAUUUGCGCCCUCCAGGAGAUCCACCUGCUCUGUAGAUUUUAUGGCCCCUGCUUGUGCAUAUACCUCCCAGCUGCAAUAAGACAAUAAGACGAUAACUUGGUUCUUUGGAGUUCCUUAGGAAUGUGAUGACCCCCAAACAGAGAGUCUAUGCUGAUAGCCAUCAUCAAUGAAACUGAAAGAUCUGGUGUGGCGACUCCCAGACUGUAACACCAGAGGGUCAACUUUCCUAACCCCCUCUCCUAUAACCCAAUGGCCUAUAUAACUGCUUCAAGAUUGUGUGCCCCCCUUAAGAUAGUUCUUUCGGACAUUAGUCAGCCAUCUUCCCUCUUGCUAGCAAGCAUAAAAUGCCCUUUCUCUGCCACCAUCUUGCCUCUUGACAAUUGGCUUUUGUCUCGUGGUGAGCAGAUCAUGCCCCUUGUGUGGUAACUGUGUAAGUCAGUUCCCCUGCCCAGAGAUCAGUCUUUUCAUGUGUAAAGCGGAACUUGGACAUAAUCUCUAAAGUCCAUUCCAGCUGUAUGAGUCUAUGAUUCAGAUAUUUACAGACAUUAACAGUGUGCUGGCAUGCUGAUCUCAUGCUGCCCUCUGGGUGGCAAUGGAAUGGUCGUAAUCUAACAGGAGAGAGAAGUACAGGAGUAAAUAAGAUUAUACUGCUCCUGGCAUGAAGCAGGCAGAGGUGAUGCUCAACAUAGUUAAUAACAUGUUUGACAAUGUAAAUCAAAAUAGAAAAUAAAACUAAAUUAAAAAAUUCCUGUUAGUUUAUAUACUAUAUAUUUCUUAAAACUGCUUAGCAAAUGAUAUAAGUUGUGGUGCAUAUCAUUGGUCAAAUCAUUCUAAUUUCCAAAUCACUUGUUUUAGAUUUUCCCCCCAGGUUUAUUGAGAUAUAAUUGACAUAUAACAUUGUAUAAGUUUAAGAUGUACAAGGUAUUGAUUUGAUACACUUGUAUAUUGAAAUAUGAUAACUCUGCAUAGCAUUAGCCAGCACCUCCGUCGCAUCACAUAAUUACCAUUUCUUUUUUGUGGUGAGGACAUUUAAGAUCUAUUCUUCUAGCAGCUUUCAAGUAUAUAGUACAGUAUUAUUAACUACAAUCACUAUGCUGUACAUUAGAUUGCCCCCUGGAACUUUUUCAUCUUCUAACUGGAAGUUUGUACUCUUUGACCAAUUCUCCCCUUUUCUUCCACCCUCCAGCCCCUGGCAACCACCAUUCUAGUCUCUGUUUCUAUUAGUUAACUUUUUUUAGAUUCCACGUAUAAGUGAUAUCACAGUAUUUGUCUUUUUCUGUUUGACUUAUUUCACUCAGCACAAUGCCCUCAAGGUCCAUCCAUAUUGUUGAAAAUGGCAGGAUGUCCUUCUUUCUCGUGGCUGAAUAGUAUUCCAUUCUAUGUAUAUACCACAUCUUCUUUAUCUGUUUAUCUAUUGACUGACAUUUAGGUUGUUUCCAUAUCUCCUUAUCUUGGCCAUUGUGAAUAAUACUGCAAUGAGCAUGGGAAUGCACAUAUCUCUUUGAGAUCUUGUUUUCAUUUCCUUUUGAUAAAUACCCAGAAGUGGGAUUGCUGGAUCAUAUGGUAGUUCUGUUUUCAAUUUUUUGAGGAAUCUCCAUACUGUUUUCCAUAGUGACUGCACCAAUUUACACUCCC